CUGGCGUUGUUCUCAUGCAGG
rnacentral:miRNA from 1 species